UGGGAUAUAGCUCAGUUGGUAGAGUGUUUGCUUCACAUGCACAAGGCCCUGGGUUCAAUCCCCAGCUUCACAC
rnacentral:tRNA from 1 species